CUACUUAGGAGAAUGAAGCGGGAUCUGGAUCGGCUACGGGAGCUGGUGCCUGGCGUGGUGGUAGUAUGGUCCGAGAUGGUGCCGAGAUUUAAUUGGAGACAUGCCAGGGACCCAGCUGCUGUGGCGCGAUGCCGGGGAAAAGUGAAUAGAGCUAUGUCAGUUUUCGUCCGGAGGUCGGGCGGGGUUACAGUACGACACUGGGAGUUAGAGGGCAUGUUGCCUGGGUACUUUCGCAAGGAUGGGGUGCACCUUUCCGAAGUGGGGUGCGAUUUACUAAAUUUAGGUUUUCAGGAGGGCAUAGCUCAGGCCCUAUUUUUGUAUGGUGGGG